rfam:Populus trichocarpa scaffold_994_contig_2, whole genome shotgun sequence.
UCUAGAACUCGAGAUAUGGGCUGAACACUGAACAGUGUCUGGGCUGCAGGACAGAUUCGGACUUCUUCGUUGUUGCUGCAAUGUGGACUUGAAAACGGCCUUGUUAAAUCUUGGACUCCCAUGAAAGUUGUAGGUCUAUGUCUUACCUUUCCAUC